rnacentral:rRNA from 1 species
CCUACGGGAGGCAGCAGUAGGGAAUUUUCCACAAUGGGCGAAAGCCUGAUGGAGCAACGCCGCGUGGGUGAAGAAGGUCUUCGGAUCGUAAAACCCUGUUGUUAGAGAAGAAAGUGCGUGAGAGUAACUGUUCACGACUCGACGGGAUCUAACCAGAAAGCCACGGCUAAAUACGUGCCAGCAGCCGCGGUAAUACGUGGGUGGCAAGCGUUAUCCGGAUUUUUUGGGCGUAAAGGGAACGCAGGCGGUCUUUUAAGUCUGUGGUGAAAGCCUUCGGCUUAACCGGAGUAGUGCAUUGGAAACUGGGAGACUUGAGUGCAGAAGAGGAGAGUGGAACUCCAUGUGUAGCGGUGAAAUGCGUAGAUAUAUGGAAGAACACCAGUGGCGAAAGCGGCUCUCUGGUCUGUAACUGACGCUGAGGUUCGAAAGCGUGGGUAGCAAACAGGAUUAGAUACCCUAGUAGUC